AUUGAACGCUGGCGGCAGGCUUAACACAUGCAAGUCGAGCGGGGUGAUGGUGCUUGCACUAUCACUUAGCGGCGGACGGGUGAGUAAUGCUUAGGAAUCUGCCUAUUAGUGGGGGACAACAUCUCGAAAGGGAUGCUAAUACCGCAUACGUCCUACGGGAGAAAGCAGGGGAUCACUUGUGACCUUGCGCUAAUAGAUGAGCCUAAGUCGGAUUAGCGAGUUGGUGGGGUAAAGGCCUACCAAGGCGACGAGCUGUAGCGGGUCUGAGAGGAUGAUCCGCCACACUGGGACUGAGACACGGCCCAGACUCCUACGGGAGGCGGCAGUGGGGAAUAUUGGACAAUGGGGAGAACCCUGAUCCAGCCAUGCCGCGUGUGUGAAGAAGGCCUUAUGGUUGUAAAGCACUUUAAGCGAGGAGGAGGCUACUCUAGUUAAUACCUAGGGAUAGUGGACGUUACUCGCAGAAUAAGCACCGGCUAACUCUGUGCCAGCAGCCGCAGUAA
rnacentral:rRNA from 1 species